UCCGGGUGAGCCUGAAAGUGCACCGAUUU
rnacentral:piRNA from 1 species